UGGGGAAUUUUGGACAAUGGGCGCAAGCCUGAUCCAGCCAUGCCGCGUGCGGGAAGAAGGCCUUCGGGUUGUAAACCGCUUUUGUCAGGGAAGAAAUCUUCUGAGUUAAUACCUCGGGAGGAUGACGGUACCUGAAGAAUAAGCACCGGCUAACUACGUGCCAGCAGCCGCGGUAAUACGUAGGGUGCAAGCGUUAAUCGGAAUUACUGGGCGUAAAGCGUGCGCAGGCGGUUUUGUAAGACAGAGGUGAAAUCCCCGGGCUCAACCUGGGAACUGCCUUUGUGACUGCAAGGCUUGAGUGCGGCAGAGGGGGAUGGAAUUCCGCGUGUAGCAGUGAAAUGCGUAGAUAUGCGGAGGAACACCGAUGGCGAAGGCAAUCCCCUGGGCCUGCACUGACGCUCAUGCACGAAAGCGUGGGGAGCAAACAGGAUUAGAUACCCUGGUAGUCCACGCCCUAAACGAUGUCAACUGGUUGUUGGGAAGGUUCCUUCUCAGUAACGUAGCUAACGCGUGAAGUUGACCGCCUGGGGAGUACGGCCGCAAGGUUGAAACUUAAAUGAAUUGACGGGGUCAUGCUGUUUCCU
rnacentral:rRNA from 1 species